UACGGGGGGGGCAAGCGUUGUUCGGAAUUACUGGGCGUAAAGGGCUCGUAGGCGGCCAACUAAGUCGGAUGUGAAAUCCCCAGGCUUAACCUGGGAACUGCAUCCGAUACUGGAUGGCUUGAAUCCGGGAGAGGGAUGCAGAAUUCCAGGUGUAGCGGUGAAAUGCGUAGAUAUCUGGAGGAAUACCGGUGGCGAAGGCGGCAUCCUGGACCGGCAUUGACGCUGAUGCGCGAAAGCGUGGGGAGCAAACAGG
rnacentral:rRNA from 1 species